rnacentral:piRNA from 1 species
UAUGAGUGUCGCUAUUGCCUACGAAGUUAC